rnacentral:rRNA from 1 species
UCUGGGACAAGCCCUGGAAACGGGGUCUAAUACCGGAUAUGACUGUCCAUCGCAUGGUGGAUGGUGUAAAGCUCCGGCGGUGCAGGAUGAGCCCGCGGCCUAUCAGCUUGUUGGUGAGGUAGUGGCUCACCAAGGCGACGACGGGUAGCCGGCCUGAGAGGGCGACCGGCCACACUGGGACUGAGACACGGCCCAGACUCCUACGGGAGGCAGCAGUGGGGAAUAUUGCACAAUGGGCGAAAGCCUGAUGCAGCGACGCCGCGUGAGGGAUGACGGCCUUCGGGUUGUAAACCUCUUUCAGCAGGGAAGAAGCGAAAGUGACGGUACCUGCAGAAGAAGCGCCGGCUAACUACGUGCCAGCAGCCGCGGUAAUACGUAGGGCGCAAGCGUUGUCCGGAAUUAUUGGGCGUAAAGAGCUCGUAGGCGGCUUGUCACGUCGGUUGUGAAAGCCCGGGGCUUAACCCCGGGUCUGCAGUCGAUACGGGCAGGCUAGAGUUCGGUAGGGGAGAUCGGAAUUCCUGGUGUAGCGGUGAAAUGCGCAGAUAUCAGGAGGAACACCGGUGGCGAAGGCGGAUCUCUGGGCCGAUACUGACGCUGAGGAGCGAAAGCGUGGGGAGCGAACAGGAUUAGAUACCCUGGUAGUCCACGCCGUAAACGGUGGGCACUAGGUGUGGGCAACAUUCCACGUUGUCCGUGCCGCAGCUAACGCAUUAAGUGCCCCGCCUGGGGAGUACGGCCGCAAGGCUAAAACUCAAAGGAAUUGACGGGGGGCCGCACAAGCGGCGGAGCAUGUGGCUUAAUUCGACGCAACGCGAAGAACCUUACCAGGGCUUGACAUACACCGGAAACGUCUGGAGACAGGCGCCCCCUUGUGGUCGGUGUACAGGUGGUGCAUGGCUGUCGUCAGCUCGGUCGUGAGAUGUUGGGUUAAGUCCCGCAACGAGCGCAACCCUUGUCCCGUGUUGCCAGCAGGCCCUUGUGGUGCUGGGGACUCACGGGAGACCGCCGGGGUCAACUCGGAGGAAGGUGGGGACGACGUCAAGUCAUCAUGCCCCUUAUGUCUUGGGCUGCACACGUGCUACAAUGGCCGGUACAAUGAGCUGCGAUACCGCGAGGCGGAGCGAAUCUCAAAAAGCCGGUCUCAGUUCGGAUUGGGGUCUGCAACUCGACCCCAUGAAGUCGGAGUCGCAGUAAUCGCAGAUCAGCAUUGCUGCGGUGAAUACGUUCCCGGGCCUUGUACACACCGCCCGUCACGUCACGAAAGUCGGUAACACCCGAAGCCGGUGGCCCAACCCCUUGUGGGAGGGAGCUGUCGAAGGUGGGACUGGCGAUUGGGCA